rnacentral:lncRNA from 1 species
UGUUGAACACAACUUAGAUUUUCUAAGACAUGAACAUGUAACAUCCUUUCUAUCCAGCAACUCCAAAGAACUGCAAUGAGAACGACCUUUUUGAAGUAUCCAAUCUACAACCAUGUAGACCCUUCUAUCUCAAGUUGAUGUGCCACUUCACCAACUAUGAUUCUGAUGUUGAACCAAAUGUCAUAACCUUGUGUUUUGACAUCUAGCUGUUGAAUUCAGCUCCUUCUUCUGCCACUUGAAAGAACUUCCUCCCUUCACAGAAUAAGAGUUCAAUGUUCUCAUAGACUUGAUUAUGGAACCAAGUUUGAGUAAACAUCCUCCAUCCUGCAGGUUUGCAGUUAACUCAUCCAAGCUCACACCUUGAUGAAUCCCUGCUUCUUCUCCAAAGACAUCAGACACUCUGAUGCAGGAGUCUUCAGAAGGACUAGUUAGAAACUAUCCCUUCAGCUAUACCAAGGAUUCCACUUCCUAAAGCAAAGUUGUUUCCAUGAUGUCAAGACUGCUGCCACUUGUUCUUGACUCCAUAGUAUGCAUUAGCUAAUGCACUUUCUUACCUAGAUCAGAAGUAAACUGAUCCAAGUUGUAACACCCUUCUAAAAUACCCCAAUUUAUUAAUUAAAACAACAAAAUAUGAAUCAGAGUAGAUAUGCAAUUUCAGGGUGUCACACUUGACACUUCACACCAUUCACCAAAAUAACUGGUCAUGCUCAUUUAUUAAUCAAAACAAGGCAUUGCACAAUCCGCAGCGAAUAGAAAUCUAACAACACGCAAACCAUGUAAUCACAUUACAUGUAAAACUGUUCAACAACCAAAAAUGAAGACAAAGUAAAACAUCCCGUCCCGAUGUUACAUAUACCAGAGCAUGACCCACUAAGGAACUACACUAGACUCCAAGCACUAGCUUCUACUCAAUCACUG